rnacentral:rRNA from 1 species
UACGUAGGGUGCGAGCGUUGUCCGGAAUUACUGGGCGUAAAGAGCUCGUAGGCGGUUUGUCGCGUCGGCCGUGAAAUCUCCACGCUUAACGUGGAGCGUGCGGUCGAUACGGGCAGACUUGAGUUCGGCAGGGAGACUGGAAUUCCUGGUGUAGCGGUGAAAUGCGCAGAUAUCAGGAGGAACACCGGUGGCGAAGGCGGGUCUCUGGGCCGAUACUGACGCUGAGGAGCGAAAGCAUGGGGAGCAAACAGG